CUACCAGUAUCGUUCGCAGCGACUCCGCCGCCGCAGCUUCUAGGGUCUCGAUUCCCCAUCUGCUCCCGCGGCUUCCUUGGCAUCUCCGCCGUCGUCGCUCCCCCGUGGGUUUUCACUGCUCGCCUUUCCCCUCACCAGAUCGACAUAUCCCUUUCACCCUCGCAGAAAUUGUCGCCGUCGUUUCUUCCUAGGUUGUUAUUGUCUCUCUAUCCCAUCGAGCUGAAAUCACUGCAAUCGUUGAUUCCACUGCGGUCGUCCUCAGCCAUCGGCCCGCCGUUCUAUCAACAGCUGCCGGCGUCCGUGUCCAUCGGCCGGGCGCACCGUCCCCAACGGAAUCGACGGCCGCCCGCGGCUGCAGGUGCUCCCUCCCCUUCACCGAUAGAUGUUGGAUGCAGUAGUGACGCCUGCAUAUCAUCAGAUGGCACACCGCCAUUUGACAACAACAGCUUCCCUUUAGGCUUUCUUUCAGUUCAUGCGCGUUUGGUGCAGCGCCGUCCAUCUGUCCAAGCUGCCGCACUAUGUCGAGUCUUGCUUCCUCUCAGCAAGAGUAUACGGUGCAGAACAUCGAUGAUUGCUUUCCUACAAGUUUCCAUUUGCCAUCUACAUGUUCUGUUCGACGACAUUUGUCUAUUCAACCUCCUGAGCUACAGGAGCUCCAUAGUGCACCUGUUACUUGACGAUGCCGGAAGCGUUCGCUGCUGGCUACCAACAGUGACUUUCCCACCGAUUUCCAGCACUCAUCUGCCUGUCGUGUGCACGCUCGCCUAUUACGGCAGCCUCAUGGCCUGUGCUGGAACAUUCCUUCAUCCUUUUUCAUCAAGCUGGAAUAUUGGUUCAAAGAAGAACAAGAUACCAGAUUGACUGCUGCAUUGUGCCCAUGCGAUGAAUUGUACUCGCUGGCCGUUUAGAUCAAGCAGUACGUGUGCCUAUUUAAACUAUCAUGCUGUUUUGGUGUCCUUUGUAUUUUUAUUGGGUUCAUACAAUAGUCACUAUUUAAGUUGCAACUCUGGAGGUCCGAAGAGUU
rnacentral:lncRNA from 1 species